CCCUUUCGGUUUUCCCCUGCUGUUUGCUUGGUUUCCAGACUCCCAUAAUGUUCUCUCCUGCUGGUUUCUCCACCUAUAAGUAACUCCUUUGUCUCCCCUCUCCCACCCCCCAUUCUCCAGCUAUCUUUAUGGGCAACAUCAAACUGCUGAUUUGGUUAGCACUGAGCUGGGGCCAGGGACUGGGGUUAACUUCUCAAAUGUGUUUAUGAUGCAAAGAUACAUUUUGUUCCUAAUUAGGCCUCUCACUAAGGGGAAAAGCAAAAGGAUAUAGAGGUUUGGGAUUUUUAAACAGUCAUCAUCCCCGAAAAAGGGCAUAAAUCAGUCAAAUAAGUCAUAUAAGCGUUCAAAGGAACCUGAAAUUCACAGCUGUUUCUCAUGAGUCAGGAGCUAACCUUGUCUUGCUUUCACCGAGGCUGGGCUGUCUACUGGGAAAGCAGUAGAAAUACCUGUUAGGCAGGAACCCCUGAAGUGGACAACACGAGAAACUCUUCUUAUGAAGGCACCCAUUUUCAAGUGUUCCAGGAUCCUGGAGAUCCUGGAAAUCACCCAUUUAUCUGUUUCUAUGAAUUCAAUAUUUUGGAGAUUCCACAUAUAGACCUGCUUUCCCUGCUCCUUCAUUCACACAGUGGACCGUGGCUACUCCCAACUCUUUAAUUGAAGAGAAUGUUCUUGCCCUACAUUAUGUCAGUUUCAUGAACUACUGCCAGGAGGCGAAAGUUACAUACACCUGGCUUCCCAGGGAAGAUCUCAAAGUUCCUAGAUGACAAAACUGAGGCCCAGAAGGAGAAAGUGAUUUGCAUGAUGUCACACAACCUAGUAAGCUAUAUGCCAAGACCAGCGUCAUCUUCUAGGCAUUUUAAUGAAACAAUUGUCCUUGCUGUUAUCAUCCUUCCUCCUUCAUCGAGCUUUCAUUUGGAAUUUUUCUAAAUACAUGCAGUUGAACUUUCUGAAUUUUUUUGAAUUUUAUGUUUUAUAACAAACGGUUGGGACAUAACUGCUUGAAUUUACAGUUUCUGAGUAAUGGGAUCUGACUUUCAGUGGACUGCCACUGACAUACUGGAAUUUAGCAAUUAGGCAAAAGCAACUACCAUUGUAUUGCGCAAUUGUAACUUUAACCUACUUAUGAAUAAAUGAAUGUUUUAUCUUUUGGUGUCUUGUCAAACCCCCCCCCAAAAAAAACAGAAGCCUUAGUGAAUAUUAUCGUCUGCCUAUCCAGUUUGAGUAUUCUAUCUGUGUUCUGUUACUCUUAUAUUAUUUUUUUCAUCUGGCCUUUGUGCCUUGAUUUCUCAAUGGCUGGAGGAGUGCAGAAUCUAAUUCUAGAGCUACAAGCCUUUUCUAAAAGGGGAUCUGCUCUGGUCCUUGGAGUCCAGGGAGAUGAACUUACUCGGCUUAACAGAAAACUUCUAAACUUAUUCCAAGUAAAUUCAGCGGAUAUAGACCAGAUCAGGAUUUUUAUAUCCUUCUUUGGUGCAGAUAUUUGUCUUAGUUAUAAUCCCCCUUUAGGGGGCACUCAUUGCAUUGUGCAGCAAUUCUUCCUUUGCCUGUUUACCUCCUCUUGGAAGCAUUUGAGGACCUGUCAUCUAAGAGCACCCAGCAGGCAGUAGAGCCUUGAAAACUGCUCACUGUUCCAUACAUGGUGUGGGAGGUGACUUGAAUUCUAUCUUGUUAGAAAGCUUAUAGUGGAAGCUGAUAUCCUUUUGUUUUGCCCUUUCAGGGGGGCCCCAGCACAGGAACUAAUACAAAGUGACCAACCAGGAAAUGUGUGUUGCAUGAAUAGAUGAAUAAAAGAUGAUUUCACAUGUUCAUUCA